AUAUGCAUUUAAAUUUUUGUUUAUUUAUCUAGUUCUUGAGUAAUGAGAAAAAAACCGAUUUUGUAUUUCCUUCUUUCGGUUUGCGCUUGCACCGAUUUGGCUCAUUUUCGAUACCAGCCUGCGUGCAAAAACUUCCCAUGGUUCUGUCGCAUUUAAAGCCGAUAACUUUAUUUUAGCAGCCAAGAGAAUAGUUCAAACAGACAUUACACAGACGGACAUACUUAAAGCGUUUCAGAAUUUGAUGCUGAUCAAAAAUAUACAUACUUUGUGGGGUCUCUGAUGCUUCCUUUUGGGCGUAGCAACCGUUUUGACAAAAUGAAUACACACGCAACAAUUCGAUAAGGGUUAAGGCCGAAGAAACCUUGUCCUUGGACCUUAGAAAUGGUCCGAGGAAUGUUAGCCAAUGCGUACAUUCCCAGCUCAAUUUAUCGUAAUUUCCUUUUAUGCUCGUGGGGAGCACUGCGACGCACAAAAACGACGGCCGUUUAACACGUUCUCAAAACGACAACUUUUUUCUUCGCUAAUGACACCUUACCGAAGCUCGGCUGAUCCCCUGAAAAAAAUGCAACGAAAUCCAUUGCAUUGAUUAGUACUAUAAAAUUUAGUAUUUCGAAAAUCGAACUACAGCUUUAAACAUUUCUCUAGCUCACUGGUGUUUUAGAAGAUAAGCGGAAGAGCCCCAAGAAGCUGACCACAGCCACAAACACUUGUACAGCGCGGCACAACAUUUCAGCCCACUACGAAGUGGAAGCAGACCAUUUGAAUACUCCAGUACCGGCGAUCUAUGAAGAUAGUGGUGUUGACACUUGUGUUCUCAAUUAAGAUAUUUAAGUGAACAAGGAUUGCUAGCACAAAAUUUAUAAGUAUUAUAACAAACAUUGAAAGAACUUUUUUUAUAUACUGGUAAUUAAAUGUAAAUUUCUUGUAAAUAGUUUAUGAUCGUUUUAUUUAUAAUUUUAAGGUCUAACAUAAAUUCUUUUUUUUUUCAUUUAAUUUUACAUCCUUGCUAUUAUUUACCAUACAUGCUUUGCUUACACAAACAAUGUUAAUGUGCUUAUCAUUUAUACUCCUGUUUCAGUUACCAAUUAAUCCUAACAGAAAAUUAGAUAGGAAGUAUUGAAAAGGGGGCGACAAUGGUACAUGGUUAGCCUCUUAGCGAUCAUCUCCAAAAAAACAAAGCGAUAACCACGGCGACAAUCGCCUGCUUACAUGACUACCACGGGUUCAUUUUUGCUUUCACAAUUUUGUACUGACAAUAGUAACAAAAGUCGAUUUUUGCAAUAAUUUACUAGAACAGUUAAGUCACCAUUGUACACGGUAGUGAUAAUAUUAUAUUCCAUCGCAUUUAAAUGUUUAAGAUAAUAAUUUAUUUAUAAUUUUCAACAAGAACAUUAAAUAAAGAAAUUUUAAAUUUAAAAAGUGCAAACAUUUUUAUAUUUGACAAUUUACAAAUUUUAGUUAACAAAUAAAAACGUUUUCAACAAUAAAGAAAACUCAGCUGCUUUCGGCUUUGUACGUUUUUGUUUUCGUUUGAGUUGUUCUCAACUAUAUUUGUUCAUUAGAGAUUCCUUUAGCUUCUUCAAGUUAUAUGGCUGUCUCCUCGAUCUCUUUGCAG